GACGAACCGAGCGAACGUUGUUCGGAAUCACUGGGCUUAAAGGGCGCGUAGGCGGGCCGUCUAGUCCGUGGUGAAAUCCUCCGGCUCAACCGGAGAAGUGCCUCGGAUACUGGCGGCCUCGAGGGGGGUAGGGGCGUGCGGAACUUCCGGUGGAGCGGUGAAAUGCGUAGAGAUCGGAAAGAACACCAACGGCGAAAGCACUCUGCUGGGCCGACACUGACACUGAGAGACGAAAGCUAGGGGAGCGAAUGGG
rnacentral:rRNA from 1 species